UACGGAGGGUGCAAGCGUUAUCCGGAUUCACUGGGUUUAAAGGGUGCGUAGGUGGGUCUGUAAGUCAGUGGUGAAAUCUUCGAGCUUAACUCGGAAACUGCCAUUGAUACUAUAGAUCUUGAAUUUUCUGGAGGUAAGCGGAAUAUGUCAUGUAGCGGUGAAAUGCUUAGAUAUGACAUAGAACACCAAUUGCGAAGGCAGCUUACUACGGGAACAUUGACACUGAGGCACGAAAGCGUGGGGAUCAAACAGG
rnacentral:rRNA from 1 species